GAUGAACGCUGGCGGCGUGCCUAAUACAUGCAAGUCGAGCGAACAGACGUGUAUCUUGCUCCGCUCACGUUAGCGACGCACGGGAGAGUAACACGUGGAUAACCUCACUAUAAGACUGGGAUAACUACUAGACCAUGGAGCUAAUACCGGAUAAUAUAUUCAACCGCAUGGGUCACUAGUGUAAGACGGGUUUGCUGUCGCUUCUAGAUGUUUCCGCGCCGCAUUAGCUAGUUGGUAAGGUAACGACUUACAACGGCAACGAUGCGUAGCCGACCUGGGAGAGGGAUAGGACACACUGGAAGUGAGACACGGGCCAGACUGCGACGGGAAGAAGCAGUAGGGAAUCUUCCGAAAAAGGAGAAAGCUUGACGGAGCAACGCCGCGUGAGUGAUGAAGGUCUUGGGAUCGUAAGACUGUGUUAUUAGGGAAGAAGAAAUGUGUAAGUAACUAUGCACAUAUUGACGGUACCUAAGCAGAAAGCAACGGCUAACUCCGUG
rnacentral:rRNA from 1 species